rnacentral:rRNA from 1 species
UACGAACUGCGCGAACGUUAUUCGGAUUUACUGGGCUUAAAGGGUGCGUAGGCGGCUUGUUAAGUAGGGUGUGAAAUCUUGUGGCUCAACCAUAAGAGUGCAUUCUAAACUGGCAGGCUUGAGUGAGUCAGGGGUGUGCGGAACUGCCAGUGGAGCGGUGAAAUGUGUUGAUAUUGGCAGGAACGCCGGUGGCGAAAGCGGCACACUGGGGCUUAACUGACGCUGAGGCACGAAAGCCAGGGGAGCAAACGGG